rnacentral:lncRNA from 10 species
AGACAGAGUCUCGCUCUUGUACUAUCUUGGCUCACUGCAACCUCCACCUCCCGGAUUCAAGCGAUUCUUGUGCUUCAGCCUCUCAAGUAGCUGGAAUUACAGAUGUGCACCACCACGCCUGGCUAAUUUUUUUGUAUUUUUAGUAGAGACGGGGUUUUGCCAUUUUGGCCAGGCUAGUCUCAAAACUCCUGACCUUGGGUGAUCUGUCUGCCUUGGCUUCCUAAAGUGCUGAGAUUACAGGCGUGAGCCACUGCACCAUGCUGUUUCUUCUGCUAAUAAGACUUAUUUUAUUUUAUUUUUUUAAAUGGAGUCUCACUCUGUCGCCAGGCUGGAGUGCAGUGCUGCGAUCUCAGCUCACUGCAACCUCUGCCUCCUGGGUUCAAGCAAUUCUCCUGUCUCAGCCUCCCAAGUAGCUGGGACUACAGGCGUGCACCACCAUGCUGAGCUAAUUUUUAUAUUUUUAGUAGAGACAGGGUUUCACCAUGUUGGCUAGGAUGGUCUCGAUCUGUUGACCUGGUGAUCUGCUCGCCUCGGCCUCCCAAAGUGCUGGGAUUACAGGUAUGAGUCACUGUGCUCGGCCGAGUAUCCUCUUUUUUUUUUUUUUGAGACAGGGUCUUGCUCAGUCACCCAGGGAGGAGUGCAGUGGCUGGACCACAUCUCAUGUACCUGAACUUCCUGGGCUCAUGCGAUCCUCCCACCUCAGUCUCCCAAGUAGUUGGGACUAUGGGCGCAUGCCACCACGCCUAGCUAAUUUUUUUUUUUAAGUAGAUACUGGGUCUCACUAUGUUACCUAGGUUGGUCUUGAACUCCUGAGCUUAAGCGAUCCUCCCACCUCAGCCUCACAAAGCGCUGGGAUCACAGGUAUGAGCUACUGCACCCAGCCCAUCUUGGAUUUCUUUUGCUUUUUUUUUUGAGACAGAGUUUUGCUCUUGUUGUCCAGGCUGGAGUGCAAUAGCACUGCCUCGGCUCACUGCAACCUCCAUCUCCCAGGUACAAGGGAUUCUCCUGCCUCAGCCUCCCGAGUAGCUGGGAUUACAGGCGCCCGCCACCAUGCCUGUCUAAUUUUUUUGUAUUUUUAGUAAAGACGGGGGUUCACCAUGUUGGCCAGGCUGGUCUCGAACUCCUGACCUCAGGUGAUCUGCCUGACUCGGCCUCCCAAAGUGCUGGGAUUACAGGCGUGAGCCACCGCGCCCAGCCCUCUUUUGCUUUCUUAAAUAGGUCUGCUUCCUUCUAACUACAGGCCCGUUGCACAUGCUGUUUCUUCUGCUAAUAACACUUUUUCUCUCCUCUUUGCCUGGCAACUACUCAUCUUUCAUGUUUCAGUUUAACAUUUCUCCAGGGAGACUUUCCUGAACCUUCAGGCUACUUUGAACUGUCUGGUAUAGCACACUAAAC